CCUACGGGUGGCAGCAGUGGGGAAUAUUGCACAAUGGGGGAAACCCUGAUGCAGCGACGCCGCGUGAGUGAAGAAGUAUUUAGGUAUGUAAAGCUCUAUCAGCAGGGAAGAAGAAAGCCGGUACCUGACUAAGAAGCACCGGCUAACUAAGUGCCAGCAGCCGCGGUAAUACGUAGGGGGCAAGCGUUAUCCGGAUUUACUGGGUGUAAAGGGAGCGUAGACGGCUUUGUAAGUCUGAAGUGAAAGCCCAGGGCUCAACCCUGGGACUGCGUUGGAAACUGUGUAGCUAGAGUGCGGGAGAGGUAAGUGGAAUUCCUGGUGUAGCGGUGAAAUGCUUAGAUAUUAGGAGGAACACCAGUGGCGAAGGCGGCUUACGGGAGCGUAACUGACGUUGAGGCUCGAAAGCGUGGGGAUCGAACAGGAUUAGAUACCCGAGUAGUC
rnacentral:rRNA from 1 species